GAUCAAGUUCUCAGGGAGGAUUGGAGGGAGAGAGUAUGGGAGAGAUGACUGGAAUUGGAUAACUUCUGGAGCUGAUGUAGAAAUCUAGUAAUGGAGCUGAGCGUAGUGGAACACGCCUUUAAUCCCAGCACUAGGGAGGCAGAAGCAGGCGGAUUUCUGAGUUCGAGGCCAGCCUGGUCUACAGAAUGAGUUCCAGGACAGCCAGGACUACACAGAGAAACCCUGUCUCAAAAAACCAAAAUAAAAUAAAAUAAAAUAAAAUCACUGGAAUCUACAAAGGUGACCCCAGAGACCACUCCCAGUAAUGGAGGAUACAGAGCCUGAACCAGCCAUAUUCUAUAACCAGGCGACUUACAGUGGUAGGGUUGCAACAUGAACCCAGCUAAUGCCCUUAGACCUACAACCUAUCCUGCCAGAAAGAUGUGCUGGGGCAAUGGAGGAGAACUAAUGUGGCCAACUAAUGGGUGGUCUAAUUCGAAGCCCACAAGAGAGGAAGCCCAUGCCCAACACUGCCUGGAUCAUCAAGAACUGGAGUCUGGAUAGCCAAGGACCUAGGGUAGGAAAAAUAAGUCAAUGAAAUGAUCCCUAGUGGUAAUCUGCUAUACUCAAAGAUUGAGGCCUAGUUCAAUAGUCAUCAGAGACACUUUCCCUAGAAGCUGAUUAGAACCAAUGUAAAGACUGACAGCCAUGCAUGAGAUGUAGAGAGAGCCCAAAUUGGAGUACUCCAUUAGGUCCCUCCCCUCAGAGAUCUAGGAACCCCAUGGAAGAAGGGGGAGGAAGAAUUAUAAGAGUCAGUGGGGUCAAAGACACUAGGAUAAUACAGCAAACAGAAGCAACUAAGUAGGGGUCCUGGGGGUUCACAGAGACUGAAGCAGCAACCCUGGAACAUUGGUAUGUGCUUAAGUUAUAUCUGCAUGUUAUGGUUUUUGGUUGGUUGGUUUUUUGAGACAGGGUUUCUCUGUAUAGCCCUGGCUGUCCUGGAACUCAACUGCAUAGACUCAGAAAUCUGCCUGCCUUUGCCUCCCAAGUGCUGGGAUUAAAGGCUGGGAUUAACUGCCCGGCAUGUUAUGGUUUUUAGCUUGGAGUUUUUGUAGGACUGGUAACAGUGAAGUAGAUAUCUGACUCUUGUCUGCUCUUGAGACCCAUUUCCUCCUACUGGGUUGCCUUACCCAGGCUUGGACUGGGAGAAAUGAAAGAAGAAGCUAUGAUCUGACAGUAUUAUAAGAAUAAAAUUUAAAAUGUAUAUACAUGAGCUUUGUGUUUUACCUUAUUAGAUAUGAGUUCAAAAGAACCACAAUAGUUAAAUAGGAAAGGAUUUAUACUCUAUAUGCUCUAAAUGUGGCCAAGGUGAAGGCCAUUUGCCCACAAAAGUACAUUUGAGGAGCUUGGGACUAGACAUAAGCCACAGAGCUGCCCUGACUGCUAAACUGAUUUGCUUUUUAGCUCUCAUUUAUUAAUUUAAGGCAAUUUCACAUAUUGUAUAUGCGCCCAUGGGCCCUCCUUCAACUCCCUCUUCCUUGUGUGCCUAUUUAGAAGCAGAUGUUCUGGUGCUCUGGCUCUUAGGAUGUAUCUGCCUCUUCCACAAGGUUUCCUGAGGGUUACAUAUGAGCUGUUAUAUUGUCAAUGGAUCAAAUGAGGUUUUAUGACUGGAAUGUAAAGUUUCAAGAAAUUGGGAGAUUUAGAAAUUCUCCAGAAUCCUGUACAUGAUAUAAAUGCAACCCCAACAUUUGCUUUCUCUUUUUCCAAUAAAAAAUGAGAAAAAACAAGACACCUCAUCCCCUUUGAGCUUAAUGCUUCUAUGUUUUGAGAUCUUAUUGAACUGCAUGCCUGGUGCUAAGUAGUAGUCGCAUGGCAUUUCUUAUGUCUACUGUGUUCUUAGUCAGUCUAGUCUUCUCUAAAAUAUUUGCAAUAUGCUUCCUAAAGGAGCAACCUAAGUUCUCAUGUUUCUGCACAGUCCUUGGUGUAAUAUUCUGGUCAGAGCCUAGGUGUCACAGAAGUCAAAUGGUCAAUGGAGUCAAAUCUUAUGUUGGGAUAUUAAGAAGUAUAACUUUAUGCCUUUCGAAGCAACAUGAGAAAGCAGAGGGAACUAGACUGGCUAACCAAAAAAACUUGAGACUUCAUUUCUGAAAGUCUAGAAUCAUGAAAGAAAAUGGCCUUGGAUGGGCAUUACAAUCUACUCCUCUCAGUGUUCUCAGGUGCACACGACCCUCUUUUUUUUUUUAAGAUUUAUUUAUUUAUUAUAUGUGUGUACACUGUAGCUGUCUUCAGAUACUCCAGAAGAGGGCAUCAGAAUUUUUUUAACAGAUGGUUGUGAGCCACCAUGUGGUUGCUGGGAUUUGAACUCAUGACCUUUGGAAGAGCAGUCGGUGCUCUUAACCGCUGAGCCAUCUCACCAGCCCCACACAUGACCCUCUUGCAAAUGACCAAGGAGAGGUUUCCAGAAGAGAGAAGCUGUUGAAUGUCAAAAGACAUUUGUGUGCUCUCUGAGACUGGAAGAAUAUUCAAUAUUUAAAGCUAUUUUAUGUUGGAGACAAUUAAAGUUUUUUCAAGUAUGUCCCCAACAUAAAACAGGUUUAAAAUAAAGGAUGUGAAAGAGGGGGAAACUCACUUUCCUUUUUUCCAGG
rnacentral:lncRNA from 1 species